GAAUCCUGAAUUCGAAAGGGGCCCUGGAUUCAACGCGAUCCUGUACCAAUAGUGUAUUCGGACCGCCAGAUGGCGCCGGGCGCCCGCGGCGAUUCGCUUCGCUCGCGGUGUCGUUCCAGGCGCUCACUCGGCGGGCCGUCCAUCACGAGCUGGGACGUGUGCACUUCCACCCUAGUAGAAACGUCGCGACCCGCUGGGUGCCGGCCUCAAGGCCCGGGAUGGCAGACCGCGCGCACCGCACCGGGAUUUCAUCCCGACGGGCGCGCGGACUCCCGGUGACCCGGCCGGCUGCCCGGCGGUAAAUGAGAGGAGUCGAUCCGCAAAAUGAGAAACAGUGUGUCUAUGUGAAGCGUCCGGCCCGGCGCCGAUGCGCGCGGGGAAUACAAGGUGAGAACCGGGGGAACCCCGUGCCCGGCACGGUCCCGGCCCCGCGUCGCGUUCGGUCGCCGGAGUCCUCGGACUGGAUCGAAACUCCCGUCCGCGACGACCACCUUCGGAUGGUCUCCCG
rnacentral:rRNA from 1 species